UUCAUUUCAUUUCAAAUUUCAAAAAACAACUUCCCUUCGCAGCUUCUCUCUCAUUUCUAAAUUUCUUCAUCUUUCUUCUCAACGGCAACUAUCUCCCUCCUCUUCCCCCCCUCUCCGCCUCCCCUUCUCUCUCGAUCUCUUGUCUCCUUCGUCUUCCUCAGAAUCUUCACUCUUCCUUUCUCUCAAUUUCUAUUCUCUAAAAUGAAGCAUCCACCCAAGAAACCCUAUCUUGCUAAAUACCCAUCUCGCCGAUCCACUGCCAUUUUCUAUUCCAUGCGCUAACGGCGCCGGAAUCAAGGGCGGAAGACCCCUCGGAAGCCUAUGUCGUCUUCCAAAGAAAAUGCUUCACCGUCAGAUCCCAAAUUCCCAACUCCAUGGUUCCCGAUUCCAAACCCUCGCCGACUAAGUUGAAGAGCCUGCUCCAUCUUCUAACCCACUUAAGCGGAAGCUCAGUAUGGAGACCGUUCCUGAGAAUUCCAUCCCUGGGUUGUCUGAUUCUGUUGUUAAGAUUAGAGAAGAUGUAAAAUCUGGUGUAGAAAAUUUAACAGAGGAGUGUGUAUCCACAAUGGCAGCCGUUACUCGGCUUCUAAUGAAGUCGAUUAUGGUGGCUCACUUUGGAAACUUGUUACAUAGCUACUGCCAAAAGCUUUAAAUUGCCUUCCGGAUGCACCUCAAAAUCAGCUUCAUUCUUUGUGUUUUCUAAUUUCUAGCUCACUCAAUUCAGCCAUGGAAGUACGGAGAUAUUCCAAAUUUUAUAAUGCAAAACCUGAUGAAGCCGAUGAUGGUGUUUGCACAAGAGCUUGGAGAUUCUUUUUAUCUUACUUCACAAUUGACGUUCUUUCAGUUCUUCCACUCCCCCAGCCAUGCAGGGUUUACAGAAAGAUUUGAACUUUUCAUUUGUGGUCGUGAGCUGGCCAAUGCAUUUUUCGAAUUGAUCGAUCGUAUUUAUCAGGUAAGAGGUGAUUAUAUCAAUCAUUAAUGUUAGAAGGGUGCACAGAUGAUGAAACUUUUUAGCCAAUUUCAUGGCAUUUGAAAGAGAGAAAGUACAUUAGUAUUGAACUCAAGUUAAACUGGAUAGUCUAUCACCUUUUGGAAGAUAACUUUCCUGUACUUUGUUCCAUCUUGUAUAGACCCUUUCAGUCGAAAGGUUACCAAAGGAAUCGUUUUUGUUAUGUGUUAUGUGCUUAACUCCAUAACAAUGUGCGUCCAAGCUCUACAUGAGCAUUCUAUUUUUCUUGCUUGGUAUACUUGUGCAUUAUUGGUUUAUGUGCCAUGUCAAGAAAUAAUAGUUUCUAUUGGAACGUUUUAGUGUUUCGGUUCCAUGAUAAUUGGAAUGGUUGUAAUGAUCUUUUUCUUUUAAAACAAACAAAAUUGGCACAGAGGAUGAUUAGAAGACCAGAUCAGGCAACACAAUGAGAAGCAUGGCUCAGCUGUUUCUUAUGUAUCUCGUUUCUUAUGUAAUGACUCUUUGGACUUCAAUUGCCAAAAAGAUGAGGAUGAUUCUUAUGAAGUGACACUUGAUGAUGAUUUUCUUACUGCUUUGGAAUAUGGAAUGCCACCAGCUUCUGGACUGGAAUAAAGGAAAAAAUGGAGUAUAAUCGAAUUUGGAACCUUUGCAAGCAAGGGGAAGUUUUCUGUUCCCUAUCUCUUUUUUCGAUCCUUACAAUCUUGCUUAAAAUGCUUUGAAGACAAAUUAAAGUUUUAAGUGGGGGGUAGGGUUGUAGCUUUGCAUGUUCUAUGUCCUUUGGGAAAUUUUCAUUUUGCCAAAAAUGUUCAAAUUUUAAACUUUUUCAAUGUCUUUAUUCUUAAAAUAAAUACUAUGUCUAAUUUGCUUUCUAGUUUAGACAAGCAUGUCUGCCUAACCCUUGAGCAUGGAGCUCGGGUUUGUGAUUGUGUUUGUCAUUUGAAUAUCUUAAAUAUGUUGAAAAUGCAUUCUUUGAUAGCUUAGAAAUGCGUAGAAGACAUGCUAUUCAUUUUCUAAAUAUUGUAAAUACUGUACAUACUUAAUAAUGUGUUGAAAACAUGUGCUGUUGAAAACAUGGCCUAACCAAAACCAGAUCUGCCUAGCCCUUAGAGUCCAGCCGGUUAGGUCAAGUAGAAUGCGUUGAGCUCCCUCAGUAUCAGAGCUUGUGUGGGGAACUCUUCACUUUUGGCCUAACCAAAACCAGACCUUCCUAGCCUUUAAAACCCAACCGGUUAGGUGAAGUAGAAUGCGUUGAGCUCCCUCAGUAUCAGAGCUUGUGUGGGGAACUCUUCACUUUUCGCCUAACCAAAACCAGACCUACCUAGCCCUUAAAGUCCAGCCGGUUAGGUCAAGUAGAAUGCGUUGAGCUCCCUCAGUAUCAGAGCUUGUGUGGGGAACUCUUCACUUUUGGCCUAACCAAAACCAAACCUACCUAGCACAUAAAGUCCAGCCGGUUAGGUCAAGUAGAAUGUGUUGAGCUCCCUCAGUAUCAGAGCUUGUGUGGGGAACUCUUCACUUUUGGCCUAACCAAAACCAGACCUUCCUAGCCUUUAAAACCCAACCAGUUAGGUGAAGUAGAAUGCGUUGAGCUCCCUCAGUAUCAGAGCUUGUGUGGGGAACUCUUCACUUUUCGCCUAACCAAAACCAGACCUACCUAGCCCUUAGAGUCCAGCCGGUUAGGUCAAGUAGAAUGCGUUGAGCUCCCUCAGUAUCAGAGCUUGUGUGGGGAACUCUUCACUUUUGGCCUAACCAAAACCAGACCUUCCUAGCCUUUAAAACCCAACCAGUUAGGUGAAGUAGAAUGCGUUGAGCUCCCUCAGUAUCAGAGCUUGUGUGGGGAACUCUUCACUUUUCGCCUAACCAAAACCAGACUUGCCUAGCCCUUAGAGUCCAGCCGGUUAGGUCAAGUAGAAUGCGUUGAGCUCCCUCAGUAUCAGAGCUUGUGUGGGGAACUCUUCACUUUUGGCCUAACCAAAACCAGACCUGCCUAGCCCUUAGAUUCCGGCCUGUUAGGUCAAGUAGAAUGCGUUGAGCUCCCUCAGUAUCAGAGCUUGUGUGGGGAACUCUUCACUCUUGGCCUAACCAAAACCAGACCUACCCAUCCCUUAGAGUCCAACCGGUUAGGUCAAGUAGACACAUACAUAUAUGAGUCUAAAUUCAUACAUAUAUCAAGUAAACUCAAUGUGAAUAUGUGAUUCUAAAUUCAUUUAAUUUCGCUUUCAAAUUUUUAAGAAUGAAGUGACUUAAUUGAAUUCAAUUUUGGUCGUUC